rnacentral:rRNA from 1 species
CUGGCGGCAGGCCUAACACAUGCAAGUCGGACGAGAGGUACCUUCGGGUACUGGAGAGUGGCGCACGGGUGAGUAACGCGUGGGGACCUACCUCUUAGUGGGGGAUAACGGUUGGAAACGACCGCUAAUACCGCAUACGCCCUUCGGGGGAAAGAUUUAUCGCUAAGAGAUGGACCCGCGUUGGAUUAGAUAGUUGGUGAGGUAAUGGCUCACCAAGUCGGCGAUCCAUAGCUGGUUUGAGAGGAUGAUCAGCCACACUGGGACUGAGACACGGCCCAGACUCCUACGGGAGGCAGCAGUGGGGAAUAUUGGACAAUGGGGGCAACCCUGAUCCAGCCAUGCC